rnacentral:rRNA from 1 species
CCCUUAGAUGUCCUGGGCCGCACGCGCGCUACACUGAUGCAUUCAACGAGUCUAAAACCUGCUCUGAUAGGGGUGGGUAAUCUUUUGAAUGUGCAUCGUGAUUGGGAUAGAUGAUUGCAAUUUUUCAUCUUCAACGAGGAAUGCCUAGUAAACGCAAGUCAUCAGCUUGCAUUGAUUACGUCCCUGCCCUUUGUACACACCGCCCGUCGCUCCUACCGAUUGAAUGAUCCGAUGAAUAUCAUGGAUUGAGGAUGCAAGUAGGUUAGCCUAUCUUCAUCUUCGAGAAGUGAAGUAAAUCUUAUCAUUUAGAGGAAGGAGAAGUCGUAACA